rnacentral:rRNA from 1 species
UACGGAGGGUGCAAGUGUUAUUCGGAUUUACUGGGCGUAAAGAGCACGUAGGCGGAUUUGCAAGUCAGAUGUGAAAGCCCGGAGCUUAACUCCGGAACUGCAUUUGAUACUGCUGAUCUUGAGUGUGGUAGAGGGGGGUGGAAUUCCCGGUGUAGAGGUGAAAUUCGUAGAUAUCGGGAGGAACACCAGAGGCGAAGGCGACCCCCUGGGCCAUAACUGACGCUGAGGUGCGAAAGCGUGGGGAG